rnacentral:rRNA from 1 species
GACGAACGCUGGUGGCGUGCCUAAUACAUGCAAGUAGAACGCUGAAGGAGGAGCUUGCUUCUCUGGAUGAGUUGCGAACGGGUGAGUAACGCGUAGGUAACCUGCCUGGUAGCGGGGGAUAACUAUUGGAAACGAUAGCUAAUACCGCACAAGAGUAGAUGUUGCAUGACAUUUGCUUAAAAGGUGCAAUUGCAUCACUACCAGAUGGACAUGCGUUGUAUUAGCUAGUUGGUGAGGUAACGGCUCACCAAGGCGCCGAUACGUAGCCGACCUGAGAGGGUGAUCGGCCACACUGGAAGUGAGACAUGGCCCAGACUACUACGAGAGGCAGCAGUAGAGAGUAUUAGGCGAUGGACGGAAGUCUGACCGAGCAAGGCCGCGAGAGUGAAGAAGGAUUUCGGAUCGAAAAACACUGUUGUAAGAAAAGAACGAGUGUGAGAGUGGAAAGUUCACACUAUGACAGUAUCUAACCAGAAAGAGACGACUAACUGCGUG